AUGGAAAAUUUAGAAAGGCAGAGUGAAGCAGAGGACAACUACAAUGGGGUGUUAGGACAACAUAGAUCAGAGGUGAUGGAUCCGUCACAGUCACACAGCAACAACCCGAAUCCGAAUCUGAAUCCACUGGCUUCAUCGGUGCCGCUUUGGCCGGCGAUCGAUGGUUCACCAGGUCUGUCGGAGGAAGAAUCAGUCAAGUAUGCUCGAAGGUUCUACAAAUUCGGUUUCGCACUUCAUCCUCUUCUUUGGGCCGUCAAUUGCUUCUACUUCUAG